rnacentral:rRNA from 1 species
CACUAUCGUUAACUGAAUACAUAGGUUAACGAGGCGAACCGGGGGAACUGAAACAUCUAAGUACCCCGAGGAAAAGAAAUCAACCGAGAUUCCCCCAGUAGCGGCGAGCGAACGGGGAGCAGCCCAGAGUCUGAAUCAGCUUGUGUGUUAGUGGAACGGUCUGGAAAGUCCGACGGUACAGGGUGAUAGUCCCGUACACCAAAAUGCACAGGCUGUGAACUCGAAGAGUAGGGCGGGACACGUGGUAUCCUGUCUGAAUAUGGGGGGACCAUCCUCCAAGGCUAAAUACUCCUGACUGACCGAUAGUGAACCAGUACCGUGAGGGAAAGGCGAAAAGAACCCCGGCGAGGGGAGUGAAAAAGAACCUGAAACCGUGUACGUACAAGCAGUGGGAGCACCUUCGGGUGUGACUGCGUACCUUUUGUAUAAUGGGUCAGCGACUUAUAUUCUGUAGCAAGGUUAACCGUAUAGGGGAGCCGCAGGGAAACCGAGUCUUAACUGGGCGUUAAGUUGCAGGGUAUAGACCCGAAACCCGGUGAUCUAGCCAUGGGCAGGUUGAAGGUUGGGUAACACUAACUGGAGGACCGAACCGACUAAUGUUGAAAAAUUAGCGGAUGACUUGUGGCUGGGGGUGAAAGGCCAAUCAAACCGGGAGAUAGCUGGUUCUCCCCGAAAGCUAUUUAGGUAGCGCCUCGUGAACUCAUCUUCGGGGGUAGAGCACUGUUUCGGCUAGGGGGUCAUCCCGACUUACCAACCCGAUGCAAACUACGAAUACCGAAGAAUGUUAUCACGGGAGACACACGGCGGGUGCUAACGUCCGUCGUGAAGAGGGAAACAACCCAGACCGCCAGCUAAGGUCCCAAAGUCAUGGUUAAGUGGGAAACGAUGUGGGAAGGCACAGACAGCCAGGAUGUUGGCUUAGAAGCAGCCAUCAUUUAAAGAAAGCGUAAUAGCUCACUGGUCGAGUCGGCCUGCGCGGAAGAUGUAACGGGGCUAAACCAUGCACCGAAGCUGCGGCAGCGACACUAUGUGUUGUUGGGUAGGGGAGCGUUCUGUAAGCCUGCGAAGGUGACCUGUGAGGGUUGCUGGAGGUAUCAGAAGUGCGAAUGCUGACAUAAGUAACGAUAAAGCGGGUGAAAAGCCCGCUCGCCGGAAGACCAAGGGUUCCUGUCCAACGUUAAUCGGGGCAGGGUGAGUCGACCCCUAAGGCGAGGCCGAAAGGCGUAGUCGAUGGGAAACAGGUUAAUAUUCCUGUACUUGGUGUUACUGCGAAGGGGGGACGGAGAAGGCUAUGUUAGCCGGGCGACGGUUGUCCCGGUUUAAGCAUGUAGGCUGGUUGUCCAGGCAAAUCCGGAUAAUCAAGGCUGAGGUGUGAUGACGAGGCACUACGGUGCUGAAGUAACAAAUGCCCUGCUUCCAGGAAAAGCCUCUAAGCAUCAGGUAACAUUAAAUCGUACCCCAAACCGACACAGGUGGUCAGGUAGAGAAUACCAAGGCGCUUGAGAGAACUCGGGUGAAGGAACUAGGCAAAAUGGUGCCGUAACUUCGGGAGAAGGCACGCUGGUGUGUAGGUGAAGUCCCUGCGGAUGGAGCUGAGACCAGUCGAAGAUACCAGCUGGCUGCAACUGUUUAUUAAAAACACAGCACUGUGCAAACACGAAAGUGGACGUAUACGGUGUGACGCCUGCCCGGUGCCGGAAGGUUAAUUGAUGGGGUUAUCCGUAAGGAGAAGCUCUUGAUCGAAGCCCCGGUAAACGGCGGCCGUAACUAUAACGGUCCUAAGGUAGCGAAAUUCCUUGUCGGGUAAGUUCCGACCUGCACGAAUGGCGUAAUGAUGGCCAGGCUGUCUCCACCCGAGACUCAGUGAAAUUGAACUCGCUGUGAAGAUGCAGUGUACCCGCGGCAAGACGGAAAGACCCCGUGAACCUUUACUAUAGCUUGACACUGAACAUUGAGCCUUGAUGUGUAGGAUAGGUGGGAGGCUUUGAAGCGUGGACGCCAGUCUGCGUGGAGCCAACCUUGAAAUACCACCCUUUAAUGUUUGAUGUUCUAACGUUGGCCCCUUACCGGGGUUGCGGACAGUGUCUGGUGGGUAGUUUGACUGGGGCGGUCUCCUCCCAAAGCGUAACGGAGGAGCACGAAGGUUAGCUAAUCCUGGUCGGACAUCAGGAGGUUAGUGCAAUGGCAUAAGCUAGCUUGACUGCGAGCGUGACGGCGCGAGCAGGUGCGAAAGCAGGUCAUAGUGAUCCGGUGGUUCUGAAUGGAAGGGCCAUCGCUCAACGGAUAAAAGGUACUCCGGGGAUAACAGGCUGAUACCGCCCAAGAGUUCAUAUCGACGGCGGUGUUUGGCACCUCGAUGUCGGCUCAUCACAUCCUGGGGCUGAAGUAGGUCCCAAGGGUAUGGCUGUUCGCCAUUUAAAGUGGUACGCGAGCUGGGUUUAGAACGUCGUGAGACAGUUCGGUCCCUAUCUGCCGUGGGCGCUGGAGAAUUGAGGGGGGCUGCUCCUAGUACGAGAGGACCGGAGUGGACGCAUCACUGGUGUUCGGGUUGUCAUGCCAAUGGCACUGCCCGGUAGCUAAAUGCGGAAGAGAUAAGUGCUGAAAGCAUCUAAGCACGAAACUUGCCCCGAGAUGAGUUCUCCCUGAGACUUUAAGUCUCCUGAAGGAACGUUGAAGACGACGACGUUGAUAGGCCGGGUGUGUAAGCGCAGCGAUGCGUUGAGCUAACCGGUACUAAUGAACCGUGAGGCUUAACCUU